UCAAAUUAAGUUCAAUAUUUUCUUACAAAAAAUUUAAUUUAAAAAAAAAAAAGAAUUAAAAAAAGUACACCACUCAACAGUAAGAUAUGUUUACUGCCUUUAGUGUUGUGUAUUGUUGUGCCGCUAAGUGUUCGAGCGUUGAUGCUGCUGCUGCUGCUGCCCCAUAUUGUUCCUAUUGAAUAUUAUGGCCAAGUCCCCGGAGGUAAUUCAACACAACAAUGUAGCUACUGCUCAGGAUCUGCGCUUACCGCCGAUGAUGAGGCGGCACUGCUUUGCCGCUCUGCUAUUGCCACAGCCGUGAAGAUAUAAAGUUGCAGGCAGAAACAUUUCCGAAGUGCUUACCAUAGUGAAAGCUGGCAUUGAGGCAGAUUAAGUAACCACAACAACUGUGGCCCACAAUCGCUCCGGAGCACACGCUGUUGCCGCUUCAGCUUAUGCUUCUACCAAGAAGAACAGGAAUUGCCAUUGAGCAUCACUAGUAUAUAAAUAUGUACAUAUGUAUGUAUGUAGGCAGGGCAGUGAGUGUAGUGCGCUCGCAAAUUGUAAAAGUGCUCGAGUGUUAGUGUUCUUAUUAUAUGUGUUUACGUACAUUUGUAUGUAUGCGAGUUUGUUUCUUUAUAAGUUUAUCUGCUUGACGUUGAAGGACCUUUGACGAAUUACUUGCCCAUUCACUCAUUUUAUAUAAAAAUAUAUAUUUGUAUGUUUUUGCUUAUA